UAACAUGGAUAGGCCUCUCACAAGAUGC
rnacentral:sRNA from 1 species